AUUGAACGCUGGCGGCAUGCCUUACACACGCAAGUCGAACGGCAGCACGGGAGUAAUCCUGGUGGCGAGUGGCGAACGGGUGAGUAAUGUAUCGGAACGUGCCCAGUCGUGGGGGAUAACGCAGCGAAAGCUGUGCUAAUACCGCAUACGAUCUAUGGAUGAAAGCGGGGGAUCGCAAGACCUCGCGCGAUUGGAGCGGCCGAUAUCAGAUUAGCUAGUUGGUGGGGUAAAAGCUUACCAAGGCGACGAUCUGUAGCUGGUCUGAGAGGACGACCAGCCACACUGGAACUGAGACACGGUCCAGACUCCUACGGGAGUCAGCAGUGGGGAAUUUUGGACAAUGGGCGCAAGCCUGAUCCAGCAAUGCCGCGUGCAGGAUGAAGGCCUUCGGGUUGUAAACUGCUUUUGUACGGAGCGAAAAGGCUCUCUCUAAUACGGGGGGCUCAUGACGGUACCGUAAGAAUAAGCACCGGCUAACUACGUGCCAGCCGCCGCAGUAA
rnacentral:rRNA from 1 species